CCUACGGGUGGCUGCAGUCGAGAAUCAUUCACAAUGGGGGAAACCCUGAUGGUGCGACGCCGCGUGGGGGAAUGAAGGUCUUCGGAUUGUAAACCCCUGUCAUGUGGGAGCAAAUUAAAAAGAUAGUACCACAAGAGGAAGAGACGGCUAACUCUGUGCCAGCAGCCGCGGUAAUACAGAGGUCUCAAGCGUUGUUCGGAAUCACUGGGCGUAAGGCGUGCGUAGGCUGUUUCGUACGUCGGGUGUGAAAGGCGCGGGCUCAACCCGCGGACGGCACAUGAUACUGCGAGACUAGAGUAAUGGAGGGGGAACCGGAAUUCUCGGUGUAGCAGUGAAAUGCGUAGAUAUCGAGAGGAACACUCGUGGCGAAGGCGGGUUCCUGGACAUUAACUGACGCUGAGGCACGAAGGCCAGGGGAGCGAAAGGGAUUAGAUACCCCAGUAGUC
rnacentral:rRNA from 1 species